rnacentral:misc_RNA from 1 species
GAUGAAGAACGUAGCGAAAUGCGAUACGUAGUGUGAAUUGCAGAAUUCAGUGAAUCAUCGAAUCUUUGAACGCACAUUGCACCUCUCGGUAUUCCGGGAGGUAUGCCUGUUCGAGCGUCAUUUGUACCCUCAAGCUCUGCUUGGUGUUGGGUGUUUGUUCCGCCUCUGUGUGUGAACUCGCCUCAAAACAAUUGGCAGCCGGCGUACUUGUUUCGGAGCGCGGCACAUUUUGCGAUCCAGAUCAACGUACAGCGGCAUCCAAGAAGCCUUAUUUAACGCUCUUGACCUCGGAUCAGGUAGGGAUACCCGCUGAACUUAAGCAUAUCAAUAAGCGGAGGA